UGAGGAAUAUUGGUCAAUGGGCGAGAGCCUGAACCAGCCACGUCGCGUGAAGGAAGACUGACCUUACGGUUUGUAAACUUCUUUUGUAGAGGGGUAAUGGCAGAUACGUGUAUUUGCGUGAAAGUACUCUACGAAUAAGCAUCGGCUAACUCCGUGCCAGCAGCCGCGGUAAUACGUAAGGUCCGAGCGUUGUCCGGAAUCAUUGGGCGUAAAGGGUACGUAGGCGGAUAAGCAAGUUAGAAGUGAAAUCCUAUAGCUCAACUAUAGUAAGCUUUUAAAACUGCUCAUCUUGAGGUAUGGAAGGGAAAGUGGAAUUCCUAGUGUAGCGGUGAAAUGCGCAGAUAUUAGGAGGAAUACCGGUGGCGAAGGCGACUUUCUGGCCAUAUACUGACGCUGAGGUACGAAAGCGUGGGUAGCAAACAGG
rnacentral:rRNA from 1 species